GAUGAACGCUGGCGGCGUGCCUAAUACAUGCAAGUCGAGCGAACAGACGAGGAGCUUGCUCCUCUGACGUUAGCGGCGGACGGGUGAGUAACACGUGGAUAACCUACCUAUAAGACUGGGAUAACUUCGGGAAACCGGAGCUAAUACCGGAUAAUAUAUUGAACCGCAUGGUUCAAUAGUGAAAGACGGUUUUGCUGUCACUUAUAGAUGGAUCCGCGCCGCAUUAGCUAGUUGGUAAGGUAACGGCUUACCAAGGCAACGAUGCGUAGCCGACCUGAGAGGGUGGUCGGCCACACUGGAGCUGAGACGCGGUCCAGACUCCUACGGGGGGCAGCAGUGGGGAAUCUUCCGCAAUGGGCGAAAGCCUGACGGUGCAACGCCGCGUGAGUGAUGAAGGUCUUCGGAUCGUAAAACUCUGUUAUUAGGGAAGAACAAAUGUGUAAGUAACUAUGCACGUCUUGACGGUACCUAAUCAGAAAGCCACGGCUAACUACGUG
rnacentral:rRNA from 1 species